rnacentral:rRNA from 1 species
GUAGGUGGCAAGCGUUGUCCGGAAUUAUUGGGCGUAAAGCGCGCGCAGGCGGUUCUUUAAGUCUGAUGUGAAAGCCCACGGGCUCAACCGUGGAGGGUCAUUGGAAACUGGAGAACUUGAGUACAGAAGAGGAAAGCGGAAUUCCACGUGUAGCGGUGAAAUGCGUAGAGAUGUGGAGGAACACCAGUGGCGAAGGCGGCUUUCUGGUCUGUAACUGACGCUGAGGCGCGAAAGCGUGGGGAGCAAACAGGAUUAGAUACCCUGGUGGUCCACGCCGUAAACGAUGAGUGCUAAGUGUUAGGGGGUUUCCGCCCCUUAGUGCUGCAGCUAACGCGUUAAGCACUCCGCCUGGGGAGUACGGCCGCAAAGGCUG